rnacentral:rRNA from 1 species
AUGGGGGGUGACCCGAUACACCUGGUAGCGGAUUUGAUGAACGAAGAUGGUGAAUGGAAUGAGGAAAUAAUCAGAAGGAAUUUCAUUGCCCCGGAUGCGAGCGCUAUACUCAACAUGCCAAGAACACGGAUGGCUAUCUCUGAUUUUUGGACAUGGGGCCAUGAAAGAUCUGGGAUUUUCACGGUCCGAUCUGCAUAUCGUAUGCUUAUGGAAGAACAACAAGCAAAGCUGAUUCAAGUUGGGAAUUCAUCCCAAGGUGAGGAAAUCUGGAAGUCGUUAUGGCGGAUUCAGGUACAACCAAAAAUAAGGAUUUUUUGGUGGCGAGUCCUCAAAGGAUUUCUGCCGGCAAAGGAGGAGCUGUGUAGGAGGCAUAUAGGGGAGGAUUCCACCUGCCCAAUGUGUGGUCACCAAGAGGAGUCACUUCAUCACUCUCUGGUGAUGUGCGAUCAUGCAAAACUGUUCUGGAGGGAAGCUGAGAAUUUUUUCGACUUCAAACUACCCCGGCUACACCCUGUUACUUGGUCACGGGAUUUGCUAGACCCGGGGUUUGUCAGUAAGGCUAGAGCGGCCAUCAUUAUCUCAGUUAUGUGGGCAAUAUGGUCGAGCAGGAACAAGUACACACAUGAGGAGGUUAAGUACCAGCCUGGCCGGUCGGUGGUUCUAGUGCAAGAACUCAUUCAUGCUUUGUAUAUUCCGGCCACUCCGUCUGAAGUUCAGCAGAGGAACAAUGUGGACUGGAUACCACCAGAGCCCGGCUGUGUAAAGAUUAACACAGAUGCUGCGGUUGAUGUGAAUGGGGGAACUUCAGCCAUUGGACUUGUGGCAAGAGAUCAGGGCGGACUUGUGCUCGCCAGAAGUCGUAAGGGGCUGUGCAUUAGCUACGUGAGAAGAGAGGCCAACAAGGCUGCUCAUUGGUGUGCUCAGGAGGGCCUCAAGAGUGCCUCGGAUGUUAGUCUUUUUGAUGUAUUCCCUGAUUCUCUGAUUGCCUUAGUGCAAUCUGAUGUGCAUCUGAGCCUGGGCUCUGCCUUGAAUUAUCGCAAACUACGUGGCUUCAUUUCUAGGCUUAUGUAG